GAGGUGGCAUCUUGGAGGUUGCAUGCCACGUGGUAAACCCUUGGAGAGGUGGUACCUAUGGAUGCCACAUGGCAAACCCUUGGAAAGAUGGCAUCUUCGAGGUUGCAUGCCAUGUGACAAACCCUUGGAGAGGUGGUACCUAUGGAUGCCACGUGGUAAACCCUUGGAAAGGUGCAUCUUGGAGGUUGCAUGCCACGUGGCAAACCUUUGGAAAGGUGCAUCUUGGAGGUUGCAUGCCACGUGACAAACCCUUGGAGAGGUGGUACCUAUGGAUGCCACGUGGCAAACCCUUGGAAAGGUGGCAUCUUGGAGGUUGCAUGCCACGUGACAUAACAUUGGAAAAUACCUCUUCUGCACUUGUAUGCCACGUGGCAUACCUUAGGCCCCGGACAUGUCCGGGCCCAGAUAUGUGGGUCCCCAGACAUGUCGGGCCCCAGAUAUAUCCGGGCCCCGGACAUGUCGGGCACCCGAUAUGUCGGGCCCCGGACAUGUCGGGCACCCAGAGAUAUCGGGCCCCGGACAUGUCCGGCCCCGGACAUGUCAGGCCCUGGAUAUAUCCGGGCCCGGACAUGUCUGGCCCUGGACAUGUCAGGCACCCGAUAUGUCGGGCCCCAGACAUGUCGGGCCCCGGAUAUAUCCGGGCCCCAAUAUGUCCGGCCCUGGACAUGUCGGGCCCCGGAUAUAUCCGGGCCCGGACAUGUCCGGCCCCGGACAUGUCGGGCACCCGGACAUGUCAGGCCCCGGAUAUAUCCGGGCCCGGACAUGUCUGGCCCCGGACAUGUCAGGCACCCGAUAUGUCGGGCCCCGGAUAUAUCCGGGCCCCAAUAUGUCCGGCCCUGGACAUGUCGGGCCCCGGAUAUAUCCGGGCCCGGACAUGUCCGGCCCCGGACAUGUCGGGCACCCGGACAUGUCAGGCCCCGGAUAUAUCCGGGCCCGGACAUGUCUGGCCCCGGACAUGUCGGGCACCCGAUAUGUCGGGCACCCGAUAUGUCGGGCCCCCGACAUGUCCGGCCCUGGAUGUGUCUAGCCCUGGAUAUAUCCGAGUUUUAUUUUGACACGUGGCAUGGUCUUUGGUUUGAUCUCAUAGAGUUUUAUUGUUUUCAAUGUGUGCCACAUUGACACGUGGCAUGCCCUUUGGUUUGUUCUCAUAGAGUUUUAUGGUUUUCAAUGUGUGCCACAUUGACACGUGGCAUGUGCUUUGGUUUGUUCUGAGUUUUAUGGUUUUCAAUGUGUCACAUUGACACGUGGCAUGCCCUUUGGCUUGUUCUCAUAGUUAGAGUUUAGUGUCCUUGACCUUGUAUGCCACGUGACACACAUAUGUUUGGACUUGCUUGCCAUGCCACGUGGUGACAAUCACCAACACAUUAUUUCUAACUUAUAUCCUAGUUAAUAACUAGCUAACGACACAAUUUGGCAAAUACACCUUACAUUCACAAUUGUAAGUAGUAUUUAAAGACCAUACACUUAUAUGCUAUGGAAAAAUACUCAAAGUUUAUAUAUUAAAACAGUGAUCUUACAAAAAUAAAUGACUUGUAAGGAAAAAAAAAAGAGGGGGUCACUUGGACUUCCCGGGUGGUCACCCAGCCCAGUACUAUUCGAGCCCAGGGACGCUUAACUUUGGAGGUCUAAUGGGAUCCAGUGCCAUAGUCACGGUUUGAACCCACUCUGAAAUAUUUCACACUCCCCCUACUCUUAUAGUGGGGCAGCUGAUCCAAAGCUGCAGUGUACCUCCACAAUCCCGUGUUCUUUUUGGGUGCCAAAAAACCUGCGGGACGUGUGGUAUCUCCCCAACAAUUCACGAAGACCGUGUUUUGGGCCCCAAAAUGCACGCUGCGAAAUGCGGGGUACCUCCCCAACUUUUCGUGAAAAUCACGCGUUUUGGGCCCAAAAAAGCCCGCGGAACACAUGGUACCUUCCCAACUUUUCGCGAAAAAUCGCGCGUUUUGGGCCCCAAAACGCGCCCCGCGAAAUGCGGGGUACCUCCCCAACUUUUCGUGAAAAUCGCGCGUUUUGGGCCCCAAAAAAAGCCCGCGGAACACGUGGUACCUUCCCAACUUUUCGCGAAAAAUCGCGCGUUUUGGGCCCCAGACAUUCCGGGCCACUUUUUUUUCCCCUCCCCCCGCCUUUCGUGCCACGUGGCAGGCGGGCAGGGCCUUCCCCCCCUCCCUCACACGCACGCAGGCUGAGGCUUCUCCGCGCGGUUUGGGCCCGGGAGAGUCCUCCCCCCUUCCUCCCUCCGUCGCACGGCAGGUGGGGGCCCCUCCCCUUUCCCGCCGCGUGACGCUGGCCCUUGCCAAGCAGCCGUGCCACCCCCGAGGCUCGCCUCCCUUGGAAGCCCGGAGGACCACACUGCUGCCUCCCUCCCCCUCGCCCGACAGGCGUGCGGAUGUGGUCCCAAGGCCAUGCCCAUGGACCGCACAGCACGACUCUGCCAAACGCUGGAGUGGGUGCCAGGGAAGCCACGCCGAGGCUCUCCGCAGCCGAGAACCCUUGCACAACC
rnacentral:lncRNA from 1 species